rnacentral:rRNA from 1 species
GACGAACGCUGGCGGCGUGCCUAAUACAUGCAAGUCGAGCGAAUGGAUGGGAGCUUGCUCCCUGAAGUUAGCGGCGGACGGGUGAGUAACACGUGGGCAACCUGCCUGUAAGACUGGGAUAACUUCGGGAAACCGGAGCUAAUACCGGAUACAUUCUUUCUUCGCCUGAAGAAAGAUGGAAAGAUGGUUUCGGCUAUCACUUACAGAUGGGCCCGCGGCGCAUUAGCUAGUUGGUGAGGUAACGGCUCACCAAGGCAACGAUGCGUAGCCGACCUGGGAGGGUGAUCGGCCAGACUGGGACUGAGCCACGGCCCAGACUCCUACGGGAGGCAGCAGGAGGGAAUCUUCCGCAAUGGGCGAAAGUCUGACGGAGCAACGCCGCGUGAGCGAAGAAGGCCUUCGGGUCGUAAAGCUCUGUUGUUAGGGAAGAACAAGUACCAGAGUAACUGCUGGUACCUUGACGGUACCUAACCAGAAAGCCACGGCUAACUACGUGCCAGCAGCCGCCGUAAUAC